GCUUGUGAGUGGGAUUGCGUUUCUGUGUGCGCCGUGUGCGGAUAGCUUGCUAUGCGUGUGUGGCUGUAUAUGGAUUGAUGCGAGCCUUAACUUAUUGCCGUUCGGGACGUUGACGAAAUGGAGCGAUUUGACCCGUCUUGAAACACGGACCAAGGAGUCUAACAUGUGUGCAAGUGUUAGGGUGUGGAAACCCAAGCGCGUAAUGAAAGUAAAGGACAGCGUAAGUUGUCUGAGGUAGGAAAUGCUGCGGACUUCGGUUUGCGGUGUGGCACUAUCGACCGAUCAUGAACCUUCGUGGUGAAAGAUUUGAGUUUGAGCACAUAUGUUGGUACCCGAAAGAUGGUGAACUAUGCCUGAGUAGGGUGAAGCCAGGGGAAACUCUGGUGGAAGCUCGUAGCGAUUCUGACGUGCAAAUCGAUCGUCAAACUUGGGUAUAGGGGCGAAAGACUAAUCGAACCAUCUAGUAGCUGGUUCCCUCCGAAAUUUCCCUCAGGAUAGCAGCAACUUAUUUUCGAUAGUUUUAUGAGGUAAAGCGAAUGAUUAGAGGAUUCGGGGAAGAAACUUUCUCGACCUAUUCUCAAACUUUAAAUCUGUAAGACCUGCAGGUUUCUUAAUU
rnacentral:rRNA from 1 species